rnacentral:rRNA from 1 species
GACGAACGCUGGCGGCGUGCUUAACACAUGCAAGUCGAGCGGUAAGGCCUCUUCGGGGUUCCAUGACCGGCGACCGGGUGAGUAACAGGUGGGUGACCUUCCCUCAGCUCUGGGAUAAGCCUGGGAAAGUGGGUCUAAUACCGGUUAUGACCUUUCCUCGCAUGGGGUUUGGUGGAAAGUUUUUUCGGCGGUGGAUGGGCCCGCGGGCUAUCAGCUUGUUGGUGGGGUGGUGGCCUACCAAGCCGACGACGGGUCGCCGGGGUGAUGGGGCGACCGGCAAAACUGGGACGGAGGCACGGCUCGGAAACAUACGAGAGGCAGCAGUGGCGAAUAUUGCGCAAUGGGCGGAAGCCUAACGCAGCGACGGGGCGUGAAGGAUGACGGCCUGCGAGUAAUAGCCGUCUGUCGACCCCGACGAAUUUUGACGGUAGGGGUAGAAGAAGCACCGGCCAACUACGUG